AGCGAACGUUAGCAGCGGGCCUAACACAUGCAAGUCGAACGCGAAAGGUCUUCGGACUGAGUAGAGUGGCGCACGGGUGAGUAACACGUAGGUAAUCUACCCUUUGGCGGGGGAUAGCGUUCCGAAAGGAGCGCUAAUACCGCAUAAGACCACGGAGUCUCCGGACGCUGUGGGAAAAGGUGGCCUCUUCUUGAAAGCUACCACCGAAGGAUGAGCCUGCGUCCCAUCAGCUAGUUGGUAAGGUAAUGGCUUACCAAGGCGAAGACGGGUAGCUGGUUUGAGAGAAUGAUCAGCCACACUGGCACUGGAACACGGGCCAGACUCCUACGGGAGGCAGCAGUGAGGAAUAUUGGGCAAUGGGCGAAAGCCUGACCCAGCCACGCCGCGUGAGUGAUGAAGGCCCUCGGGUCGUAAAGCUCUGUGGAGAGGGACGAAAACCCUGGUUUCAAAUAGGCUCCAGGCUUGACGGUACUUCUUUAGCAAGCACCGGCUAACUCUGUGCCAG
rnacentral:rRNA from 1 species